GGAUUAGAAAUUCAAGCCAAUCAGAUUGUGUUAAGAUGCCAUGUCACUUUAGUAAAAAAAAAAAAACCCAACUUUACGAUGGCGAUUCCUUCUUUUUCUUCGACGCCUUUCCAGUGUCUCUAUCCAACUUCUCAGCAGUUCCAAGUUUUCUUCCAUGAUCUGCCAUUAAUUUGUCCUAUUAUUGCUUUUUCAAAACAAUAGUAUUAACAUCACGAAACUGAUUGGUUGUAUCCAAUAAUAUUAAUUUUUUUCAAAAAAAAGUUCUAUUGAGGGCAACCAAAACUCGGCUUCUGUCGAUCUCAGAGAUCCAACCCGAAAAGCUGCAGAUAGAUUUCAAGCAAAGAUUCACUGAUAUCUUCCUAGCUUGCUCUUCCACCUCUUCUGGUACGUAUUUCCUUCUCUCCAAUUUCUUCAUUGCGGUUAUUUCUCCACCUUGACCAAUUGUGAUCACGUUAAAUAGGUUGAUUUGGAAAGGGAUCCCGCUGGUAUUGAGGCAAAAGGUCUGCCAACAAAGUCACGCUCGCAACACAGCGAUAGAGAAAUUGGAGUUUGAUCUUAUCCAAAGUCUCAUAUUUUAUUGUUCUUCAGGAAGAUUGAUUUACAGUAUUUGAUUUUCACUUAAUUUUCUUGGUUAUACUGGUAUUGUUUUUAGUUGGUUCUAAGCUCUGUUUCAUGUUGUAAUUAAUUUUCUGUAUUCUCAAAAGCGUUAGAAAGAAAAAGUGUUAUUUUUAGCUGCUAGAGCUUCAAGAACAGAGAAUCAAAUAUGGUUAGAAUACUUUCUGAACCUAAAGAGGCAAGAGUUGGUAUUAGAGAGAUUCACUACUUCCAAUUCAAUCCAGUCCACUUAUAUCUAUAGUAAUGGAGACUGGCACUGAGUAAGCAAAAAGAGCUUCAGAAAAGGUACCUACGAACUGAUUUUGUUUCACUGCACUUUAAAUUUUAGUAUUGUAUUUUUUCUUCAAUGAUUUAACCUGUAAAACCUUUUACUUUUGCUGAUAUUCAGAUUCUUGAUCUGUGCAAGUGGAACACAAGAGCUGAUCUGAGGAACAGAGUCCACUUAGCAAUCGAUAAGUACACUGAGCCUGGACUGAGGUCAUUAGCUGUUGCAAGAUGGCUCUACGUGAGAAAACCAAAAAUAAGCUCUGGUGGUCCAUGUGAAUUCAUUGGUGUGUUACGUUUGUUUGGUCCUCCGAAACAUGAUAGUGCAUACACCAUUAGAAGAGCUUCAGACCUCGGUGUCAACAUCCAGAUGAUCACUGGUUACUAUCUGUGUAUUUACUUCUCACUUUGGCUUUAAUCUUAUGGUGUAUUGGUUUUCUUAUAAGUGACAAACUUGCUAUUUCCAGUUAGACUUGAUGUAUGCUCAGUAUGGGAUCAAAAAUGUAUCCAUCAGCAUCAGCUUCUCUACUUAGCAAUCACAAAGACGAAAGCCUAGCUGCUGUUACUGUUGAACAGUUGAUUGAGAAAGUUGAUGGCCAACAUCACAGCACUAUUUCAUAAAGAUAUGUUAACACAGUUGACAAGACCCAGUGCGUAUAAUUUCAUAAAGAUAUGUUAACCACAUGUCUACAAGUACUCUAAGUGUAUAAUAUUUUUUUAUCAAUGAGUAUAAUUUCAUUAUCUUUUUAUCCUCCCUUACUAUUGUAUCCUUCUUUGGUUUUGCUUUCAGAUUCAUCCAGCAAAAGCUAGGAGGUCCUUCAGUUUCUGAUUACAAGAAGCUUCAAUCCGAGAAGUCUGAUCUUCAAAUAAAGUACUAUGAGGUUUUUGCUAAACAUCACAGAACGUUGAGAGAGGUAUCCCGUCCUAACUUGAAUAUAAAAGUUUAUUGGUACACCAUAUAUAGUUGAUUUGCACAUGAUUACAUGCUUAUGUAGUUCCUUAUAGUGGCUCUACAAUAACUUUCUCCACCACCCAUAAUCUUAAACAUAUUGAUUCAUCUUUGAUAAAUUGAAACUACUUGGGACCAAUGAUAUCGAGUAGCUAACUCUCUCUGUAGCUAAGAUUUUUCAUGAUUAUUAUUGAUAGGAGCCCAUAAAAAAAUGUUUAAAUGUGUUUGGCAUAUUAUGUGUGUGAUUAAUGUUGCAGUUAGAUGGGAGUGAAAAGCUUGCAUUCCCGACCAGCAAUUCAUUAGCCAAGUGAUGAUUAUGUUGUGAGAGAGGAAGUCACAACUCAGGGUUGAAGUUUUCCAGGAGAUCAAAACUCUGCCUCUCUAUGGUGACAGAGUAAAGCUUCAGCUCAUUCUUGCUGAUCUUCUGCGCAACAUUGUGAAUCAUGUCCCGUUUCCAGAUAGUUGGGUAGGAAUCAAGAUCUCAUCAAGCCACAAGCUUGCACACGAAAAUGAUCAUAUAUCCAUCUCCAGUUCAGGAUGAUACAUCCUGGAAAUGAUUUCUUUCAGAGAUACUAAGUGAUAUGUUUGAGACAUGAGAUGGAUGGGUCAUGCCUGAUGGCUUAUGACUUAAGCAGAUGGAUGGUAGUGUGAGUUAUGUUAGAGAAGACGAACGUUGUUUCUUUCAAGUGAAUCUUCAAGUUAAGACAAGGUUAGGUGUUGAGACCAUAUGAACUAGGGCUGUUCAAUAUGGUAAAACCGAACCGUACCGAACCGAACCGAACCGAAAUAGACAAUAUGGUUUGGUUUUGGUAUAUACCAUAUAAACCGAAUGGAUAUAAUUUUAUAAAAACCGUAGGAUUUGGAUAUGGUUUGGUAUAUAACCGAUUAAACCGAAUAAACCGAACAAAACCGAUUAAAA